GACCGUGUGGCCUAGUGGUUUGAGUGUUGGGCUAUGACACUGGAGAGCAGGGUUCGAAUCCUACUUGGUCA